rnacentral:rRNA from 1 species
AACGAACGCUGGCGGCAUGCCUAACACAUGCAAGUCGAACGAGACCUUCGGGUCUAGUGGCGCACGGGUGAGUAACGCGUGGGAACCUGCCCUUAGGUUCGGAAUAACUCCCCGAAAGGGGCGCUAAUACCGGAUAAUGUCUUCGGACCAAAGAUUUAUCGCCUUUGGAUGGGCCCGCGUUGGAUUAGCUAGUUGGUAGGGUAAAAGCCUACCAAGGCGACGAUCCAUAGCUGGUCUGAGAGGAUGAUCAGCCACACUGGGACUGAGACACGGCCCAGACUCCUACGGGAGGCAGCAGUGGGGAAUAUUGGACAAUGGGCGAAAGCCUGAUCCAGCAAUGCCGCGUGAGUGAUGAAGGCCUUAGGGUUGUAAAGCUCUUUUACCCGGGAUGAUAAUGACAGUACCGGGAGAAUAAGCUCCGGCUAACUCCGUG